rnacentral:lncRNA from 1 species
CCUACAACCACUCAAGAGUGUACACACCUUUACCCAGAGCCAGACAUAAACUGUUUUGAACAAGAUGAAGAGAAAGGCCAAAUUAAGUCUCCAAUCCUUGUCAAAGUUAAAAUUAAUCUGUCCUAAGGCGCACACAAUGAAUUCUCUUUCUUUUCUCUGUCCUGUUCAAUGUUUAAUGCUUCAGUGUGUCUUCCUCACCACUCCAGCGGUAGCCACCCAUCAGUGGUGAUUAAAGCCACAUUUCAGAGCUCCGUCCUGUCAGUGGGUGUAGUUGGGCUGCUACGGCUGAACCCUAUUGGACGCGAUGAAGGCCAGACACCAGGUUCUACCGCCCUACAUUCAUCCAAGACGCAGAUUCUUGCUGGUCAGUCAGAGGUGACGUGCCCCCAUGAAUCAUAUCCGCGACACACAGCGGCUCCCAGGUCCCCCGCUGUGGGCCUGCUGUGGCAUGGUCCUGACAGACAUUCAUGAAAGGCUCCAUACGGGGGAUUUAACGGCACAUUGAGGCAAGCAUGGCUGUCAUCCCUAAAGGAAUCUUCCUCGCUCUCUCUCUGCCCCAUUCUCUCUCUCUCUCUCUCUCUCUCUCUCUCUCUCUCUCUCUCUCUCUCUCUCUCUCUCUCUCUCUCUGCCUCUCUCUCUCUCUCUCUCUGCCUCUCUCUCUCUGCCUCUCUCUGUGUCUUUCUCUCUCCCUCUCUAUCAGAAUCUUUCUUGUUUCCUCUCGCCCCCUCUAUCUCCCUCGACCCCCCCCCCCCCCCUUCCCCUCUCUCCCAGGUCCUCCUUAGCUGAACAAACUAAGCAGAACGCGGCGAUAUGUCUGCACAAUGAACAGCCUUUGGAUAUUCCCGUUCUUUUGUGGUUCUCUUUGACGUAACGGGGUGACGGCGGAUAUUGAUUACAGUGCAGCGGGCCGGGAGAAGGGACGCCCAGAGGUUUAUAAACAGAGGUGACAUUGAGCAAAGUCAAUAUCAUCUUCCUCACAGAUCGACUGAGUUGGACUCUCGUUGAUAUCUUCAGCAAAUAUAAACCAAGAAACGGAUCAAAAUCUAUAGGUUGUCCGAUGACGUGUAGGAUGACCCACUGGUUAUUGACUGUCAUUUAUUUUUAGAAAGUAACAUUUAAAAUGCUAAUUAUGCAUUAGAACCAUUCCAUGAAUUCCAUAUUUGAUGAGAUGACCAAUCAUGAUAAUGUAUUUAACAUGUAUCAUUUAUAUGCCCUGUCUGCAUUGAAUAUUAAUGGUGAGCAGGCCCUAUUUGUGUCAAAGUGAAGGGCCGUCUGUAUACAGAGGGCUGGGGAACCAUGAGGCAUUACCACCGGGAUCCAUCAGUGUCAUCCUCCUAAUUUGACUCUUCAACCUAAACUCGUCAUGUCAGGCUUCACAAUGGCAUUGCAGUUGUGACUAAUGCCUAUAAAUGUGUCAUAUUUAAGCA